rnacentral:tRNA from 1 species
CCCAGCGUGGCGGAAUCGGCAGACGCGGCUGCCUCAAAAGCAGCUGCCCGCAAGGGCUUGUCCGUUCGAGGCGGACCGCUGGGACCA